rnacentral:rRNA from 1 species
GCAUAUCAAUAAGCGGAGGAAAAGAAACCAACAGGGAUUGCCCUAGUAACGGCGAGUGAAGCGGCAACAGCUCAAAUUUGAAAUCUGGCUACAUCCCGUAGUCCGAGUUGUAAUUUGUAGAGGAUGCUUUUGGUGAGGUGCCUUCCGAGUUCCCUGGAACGGGACGCCAUAGAGGGUGAGAGCCCCGUACGGUUGGAUACCAAGCCUCUGUAUAGCUCCUUCAACGAGUCGAGUAGUUUGGGAAUGCUGCUCUAAAUGGGAGGUAUAUCUCUUCUAAAGCUAAAUAUAGGCUAGAGACCGAUAGCGCACAAGUAGAGUGAUCGAAAGAUGAAAAGCACUUUGAAAAGAGAGUUAAACAGCACGUGAAAUUGUUGAAAGGGAAGCGCCUAUGACCAGACUUGUUUCUGGCAGUUUCGUUAGCCCUCGGGCUGAUUUACUCUGUCCAGUACAGGCCAGCAUCAGUUUGCUGUCGGGGAGAAAGGCUCUGGGAACGUAGCUCCCCCCUUCUGGGGGGAGUGUUAUAGCCCUCUGCAUAAUACCCUUCGGCAGACUGAGGACCGCGCUUCGGCAAGGAUGCUGGCGUAAUGGUCAUCAGCGACCCGUCUUGAAACACGGACCAAGGAGUCAACCUUAUGUGCGAGUGUUUGGGUGUAAAACCCCAGCGCGUAAUGAAAGUGAACGUAGGUGAGAGCUUCGGCGCAUCAUCGACCGAUUCUGAUGUUUUCGGAUGGAUUUGAGUAAGAGCACACAGGGUUGGACCCGAAAGAAGGUGAACUAUGCUUGUAUAGGGUGAAGCCAGAGGAAACUCUGGUGGAGGCUCGCAGCGGUUCUGACGUGCAAAUCGAUCGUCAAAUAUGAGCAUGGGGGCGAAAGACUAAUCGAACCUUCUAGUAGCUGGUUCCAGCCGAA